rnacentral:rRNA from 1 species
UACGUAGGGGGCGAGCGUUAUCCGGAAUUACUGGGUGUAAAGGGAGCGUAGACGGCGAGGUAAGCCUGAAGUGGAAGCCCGCGGCCCAACCUUGGGACUGCUUUUGAAACUGAGUAGCUAGAGUGCAGGAGAGGUAAGCGGAAUUCCUAGUGUAGCGGUGAAAUGCGUAGAUAUUAGGAGGAACACCAGUGGCGAAGGCGGCUUACUGGACUGUAACUGACGUUGAGGCUCGAAAGCGUGGGGAGCAAACAGG